rnacentral:lncRNA from 1 species
GGGAAGGGGGCGGGGAAAGGGGCGGGGCCUGGGGGAACGGGCAGGAGGGGCCGAAGGCAGGGAGCACGUGGAGGAGGAGGAAGGGGGAGGAGGGAUCCGGUGGAUCCCCGUGCGGCGGCGGCGGCGGCGCGGGAUCUGCUCGGGCAAUGGAAUCAGAUUCCGUGAUCCCAAGAAAUCCUGGUGUUGGAAUGUGAGCAAAAGAGGGGAAGGAGUUCUCUUUUUCUGGAUUGUUCUGGGGAUUCUGGGCAUUGUAGUCCCCAAAAGAAAGGAAGGACGAGGAACGGUUCCUUGCGUUCUUCUUAAGGAGAAAGGAAGGAUGAAAAGGGUUUAAAAAUAAAUGUCUACAAACACACACACCAAAAGGGUAGCGAGACACCAAAGCCCAUCGUCCCCAGCCAGCACGACCGGAAGGGCGGGGGAGGCACCAGAGUUGGGGAAGCUGGCUGUUUCCAGGUAGUCCCUUUCCACUGCUUUGGGGGGGGGGAAGCUCGACUCAAGGGACACCCCCAGCACCCAAGACGGUUCAGGCCCCUCCAGAAGCUGAGAUGCGUGGACUAUGUUGGACGACACUUUCCAGCGACACAUGGGCCAUGCCGGCUUAGGGGAUUAUGGGAGGGUGGGAAAGGGUGUUCUCCUUCCUCCUCCUGCUCCUCAAAGGAAGGAACCGGGUUUUGCAGUGACCCAGAAUCCAAAGGAAAGUGGGCCGCGCUCCCUGGCCAAGGGGGAAAAGGCUGGCGCAGCUGCAACCGCAGCCAGAGGCCUGGGUACCAGUGGGGAGAGGAUGCUGCUGCUGCUGCUAGGCUCUGAUUGGUGCAGAGGGAUGCCGGGAGUCCCCUCCUCCCAUCCUCCUUCGCUCCCAGGGAGGAUGCUCAGGGAUUAGGGAAGCCACCUCCUGGAGCAGCUGCUCCCUCCCUCCCUCCCCACCCCGACCCCUUUCUGACUGACACACACUCCUCUCUGAUGGAAGGGGUGCAGGCGAGAUGAAUGCUCCUGGGAUCCAUCGGGGUUACCUCCGCAAAUAUGUCCUUUGCAGGGGGCUUCCUCUUUAAGCAGUGGAAGGAGAAAUACCUCAUCCUCUCGCUGGACGGGAGCCUCCUCGUCUGCCCGGACGCCAACUCCCCGGCCGAGCUGGACCUUCCCCUGGCUGCCAGCUGUGAAGCCAUCCUGGAGGGCAGCGAGAUCGGCGACCUUCCCCGGCUGCCGCUGGGGGCCCAGAGGGACAGCUGCCUGGGGCUGGACCUUCGCGACGGGAAGAGCCUGCUGCUGCUCGCCUCCAGCAGCCAGGAAUGCAGACAAUGGCUCAAUAUCUUAAGAAAAGUUAAAGAGAGUGUCUCUCAGGGGUCUCCCUCCAGUUGCAAGCUCCAUAUCAACUCGCCAGUGAGAAAAUGUCACGGGAAAGGAGGAGGAGGGAAUGGCAGAGCAUCUCCUAAUGGCACAGAGAUACGAGAAGCUGCCUGUUCCCCGCAUUGCUUACGCCACGGAUCCCCGGCCCGCGCAGGAGUGAGGGCAGCUUGCGUCUUGAUGGGCGGUGCCGCUGCUGGCCCCACCAUGGGCUACAUGGUCACCUCGUCCACAGCGGGGCACCCUGUGGAAUCACACCCGCCAGACUUCAAGGAAUUGGGCUACCACCCGUCUGCCUGCAACUCCGAAUCUCAGUACGAAGCCCUGGAUUAUGAGGGGCUGGAUCAGGACUUCGAUAUGCUAGAUUUGGGAGGGUUUGCCUUUUAAGGUACAAGGUGGCAUCCCCCAAAUGGCAGCUCUAAAGGGCUUAAGUUGAGAAAAUGGCCGGCCUCUUUGCCUGGCAUCAUGCACCAUCCAUGGCAAGGAGACACUGCAUGGCAUGGUCUCUGGUACGUUGUCUUAAAAGGUUGGUGUUCAUGUUGUUGUUUGUCUGAUCCUAAUGUCUUUGUGAUCAAGAUAAUGGGAUAGGGUGUUACAUUCCAACUCGCCGGAGGGAUCCGAGAAGGGCAUGUGUUUCCUCCCUGUUCUCUGUGUUCUUCCUCCUUCUCUAUUAAACACUGUCUCUUUUUCACCUGCUGGUCUCGAGGUGUUAAUAAGCAACAGACGUGGGCUGUAGCUACCCACCUCCCUAGAAUAACCUUAGAGCCAAAAGGAAAAAAAACCCAGCUUGUCUCCCAUCGCAUGGGCAAGGUGGUCCACAGCC